rnacentral:ncRNA from 2 species
GAAAAAAGUAAAUUAAUAGGUUAUCAUAUAUGAGAUUAAAAGGGAAAACGGUGAGAAUCCGUUACAGCCCCCGCUACUGUAAACGAUGACGAACCCUGUUUAUCCACUGUCCAGUGCUUAAUGCUAUUAUUGAUGGUAUUGAGUGGCGGAUGGGAAGGAAGGGAGAGGAAGAAUCGUGAGUCAGGAGACCUGCCUAUUAAUACAUCUAAUC